UGGUUUCAAAGUGGGUGGUGCCUUGACCAUAUUUUCUAGACAUCUAGGAGAGAAAUAACUAACUCCAUAGAAUUUUUAUGGGUGUCAGCUAUCCCGUCAGCUGUUCCAUUUCGCGUGGCUUUGGACUGAGGAUGGAUGCUUAAACGUACGUGUCUCCUCUUGAAAUUCAGGAUGGAUGCUUAAACAACCGUCUCUCUUCUUGAAAUUUCACCACCGAUUCCGUUUUUUUAGCUGCAUCUUUGAAUUCAAUCAAUGCAGAGUUGUCACAGUUUUUAAGGAGGAGCAUGGCUUGGCUUUCUAACACGUUUUCAUUCCGUUAGUCUAAUACACCCAUUUUGUACUAAUGGUGAUAAGUAAAGAAAGUAGUUCUAUAUAAUCUUUUUCCCUAUCUAGAUCUCGAAGAUUCUUGGAGGUGACAUUAUGUGAUGUUAGAAUUUAUUGUUAACAGUUCAAGGUUUUUUUUAAAUUGUACUUUCAGAUCUUCGGGAUUCACCUGAUGUGCUGUGGUGGCCGCAGAAUCAUUCAGUGACGAAGGAAUGCUGUUGUUGUUCUGUUAGUUAAAUACAAUAUUUCCAGUAUUAA